AGACAGGCGGCCGCGGGCGAGGCGGGCCUUCGCCGGAAAGACGCGCGCCCAGGCGAUUGAGCCGAAGCGCCGCCCCCAGGUCAGCAGGCAGCCGGGGUCAGACGCCUGCCUGAGCUGCGGGGGCCAAGCGCUGGCUCCGGGGCGGCCCUGGCGGACUCGGACCGGGACGGAGCCUGCCUGCUCCGCGGGAGGUGACCGCCCUGACACCCCAUCUCCCAUCGCGGUUUCUGGGCCUCAGAGGCGGGACAGGCGUCCCUUCCCAGCAGCUCUCAGUCGCCGUGCAAAGCUCAGCGGAAGGCGCGCUAGAUUUGAAGCCCGACAUCGCCGGCGUGACUGGCAAACUGGGCCGUCACCGUACAGCGUCGCCCUCGGCCACUCGUGUGGCAUCGGAAGCGCACCCAGGGGAGAUCUUUCACGGCAACAUUAAAAACUCAUCAAGCAACCUCAUUAUCCUGCUUAUGAAAGGAAGAUGUUUGAAGAAUGGGGAGAAGUUAUCCUAAAAAGUUAAUAAAAUUCUCAGAUUUGAAUGAGCUCUCAUGUUCCGUGGCUUAGAUAAAGAGGAAACAGAUGCUACCUGCUUGAGGCGAGGUGUGAACGUCUGGUAGGCUACCCGGUAAGCAAAAGGGACCAGGAAAUGCCUUCUGCUUUUGUGUGCUGUGACUGGCUCUCAACACAAGCUCCAUACGCGGUGAAUUCUGUAGUUUUCGGUGGCACACUUGAAGAGAAUAAAAGACCUAAAAUGACACUGAAAAAGCAGCUGUCUUUACUCCUAGUAUGACAUGUUUCGGGGUCUGGGGAGGCACAUACAUCUGAUCCCCCAUUCCUCAGCUGGCCCUCAACACAUCUGACCACGGGAACCAAACCACAGGCUUCCCUGUCCACAUUCUUGGGGAAGGUAAGGCUAAAGCUGCCUAAGUUCCAGAAGCUCCGUCCUUGGUGGUACUGCUGCUUAUGGUCCUCUUCUCUGCCUCCUCUGCAUCGGUGUCGGCACCUGCUCCUCUUGGACUUUUGCUGUCAGAGCAGACCUUCGUCUUACAAAUUCGCCAACAUUUGGCAACACAAUUGUACAGGCUUCACAGUGUGCCCUGGUAAACCAGUCCAGAGCCCCUGUGUUUUACAGUAACAGACAAGAUCCUUUUCAUCUCAAGGGACAACCACAAAAACUCACGGGAGUGCCAGCUGAACUGCUUCCGACCCUCCCUGUGUAGGUCUUACUGAGAAAGGGAGGCUGAGAGGAAGGCUCAGUGUCUUGGGGCGGCCCCCUGGUGGGCCGCCUCUGUAUUCUGUUCACCCCCAGUUAACACACAUUGACAUCCAUGUCGCACAGUACAGCGAGCGCCUUACAACCUGAGCAGACCAACCUGAGCACGAACAUGAACACGGUGAAGCGUGCUGUAUGAGUGAGAUCACCAAAGACACGGGUGCACACAGCGCUGCACAGAGAAGAUGGAGCUGGGGGCUGCAGAUGGGCCAGGUAAACCCCGGACAGACAGCUCUCUGCACAGCAGCAACAGUGAAAGUCUCCCAGGGACGAGGAAGCUGAGGGCACGCAGCAGAGGGCAAGCGGUGUGCUGCCAAGACAGGAACUGGGUGUUCUUCAUCGAGACCAUGAGGCCUGGGGAAAGACUUCAGGAAGCCAAGCUCCUCUCAGAGCAGGAGAACUGCCCACGAGCCCUGUGGGGCCGAGGAGCAGAAAGGGCAGCUCAGAGCUCUGGGGUCAUUGGACCCAGUGGUGAUUUUACUACCUGGCCACCAGGAGUGAAUAGCUAAUGGAGAAAUUCACAGCGUGAAAAAUUUCAGUUUCCCUAACUCAAUGACUUUUUAUUUAUUAUGUAUAUUUUUAUUAACAAAAUUGUUUUGCAUUAAAGUCGCUCUCACUACUCCAAGUCCUGGGAAAAAAGACUUUUUUUCAGUGGGAAUUCUAGCCCAUGAAUUUAAUGAUGGAUAUAUAUAUAUAUAUAUAUAUAUAUAUAUAUAUAUAUAUUAAUUACACCCAGCUGUGGCUAGCACAAUAGACAUUUCAGGUGUCCAUAAAAGUGAAUUCUGACCUUCCAAGUGCCCAAAGCAGUUAUCCUUCUUUCUCAUUUCCUCUUAUCAAAACAGAAAAGGGAUUUUUGCCAUACUCUCUCCAGUAGAAAAAAAUUAAAAGUCAUUUACAAGAGUUUCAGUUUUCUGCAACAAACACUUACAUGUAGUCUAGCACACAGCAGACACUAGGAUAGGCUCUAAGGAUGAAAAGAUGGCACCUACUCUCAAGAAACUCAACAAACAUUUAAUGAAUGCUUAUGCUCUUUGUGGUUUCUCUUUUCCUUCAGCUACUUUCCUCUUUCUGUUAUGCUUUCUAAAUUGUGCUUUCUUUGUAAAUAAACUACAAUUGAACUUGG